rnacentral:rRNA from 1 species
AACGAACGCUGGCGGCAGGCCUAACACAUGCAAGUCGAGCGAGGACUUCGGUUCUAGCGGCGGACGGGUGAGUAACGCGUGGGAAUGUGCCCUUCUCUACGGAAUAGCCCUGGGAAACUGGGAGUAAUACCGUAUACGCCCUAUUGGGGAAAGAUUUAUCGGAGAAGGAUCAGCCCGCGUUGGAUUAGGUAGUUGGUGGGGUAAUGGCCUACCAAGCCGACGAUCCAUAGCUGGUUUGAGAGGAUGCUCAGCCACACUGGGACUGAGACACGGCCCAGACUCCUCCGGGAGGCAGCAGUGGGGAAUCUUAGACAAUGGGGGCAACCCUGAUCUAGCCAUGCCGCGUGAGUGAUGAAGGCCUUAGGGUUGUAAAGCUCUUUCAGCUGGGAAGAUAAUGACGGUACCAGCAGAAGAAGCCCCGGCUAACUCCGUG